UUCUAGAGAACCGAAGUUGUUCUAAUUGCACCUCUACUGAGGGUUCUAGGACUUCGACUCGGUCACUUUUACCCUGAUCGUGGAGGAAGCAGGAGUGGUCGAAGGACCGUUUUGGGAAUCGUUUGAGUUAGAUCUCGCGGCUAGUGGUAGAAUUAGGAGUAGGGUAGUGGCAAACCAGAUUGAAACCCUGAAACUCCAGGUGGCAACCGGCAUCAUCCGUAGCAGAGCGACCACUCCAACCGACAACCCAGCGCUUCUGGACUCCAUCAAGGGGUCAAAGUUCCGGG
rnacentral:lncRNA from 1 species